GAAGGGGAAGAGUAUUUUUUGUUUUUCUUUUUGGUUCACAAAGAACCUCAUAUGAUUGGUGUAGACUUCUUUCUCAUGAGAUGCUGUCCACACUGCCUAUGGAGCCUUGAAAACAAUAUAAGGGUCAACAAACCCAAUACUAUUGUCAUUUCUGAUUCUGAGGUCUCUCAUUUGGUGCCUGCAUAUAUACAUACAAAUCCUAAAUGUGUAAGGAUUAUAUACAUGUAAUUAAAGAAGUUAGAAGUUUAAUAAAAAGAAAGAAAUACUUACAGACAAAAGUAGUUGACAAGAGAUUUGUCGAGAGCGUCGAGGUGACAUAAUUGGUGCAAUUCUUUGAACUGCACGUAUAUGAGGUCAUCUCCAU
rnacentral:lncRNA from 1 species